UGGGGAAUUUUGGACAAUGGGCGAAAGCCUGAUCCAGCAAUGCCGCGUGUGUGAAGAAGGCCUUCGGGUUGUAAAGCACUUUUGUCCGGAAAGAAAUCCUUGGCUCUAAUACAGUCGGGGGAUGACGGUACCGGAAGAAUAAGCACCGGCUAACUACGUGCCAGCAGCCGCGGUAAUACGUAGGGUGCAAGCGUUAAUCGGAAUUACUGGGCGUAAAGCGUGCGCAGGCGGUUUGCUAAGACCGAUGUGAAAUCCCCGGGCUCAACCUGGGAACUGCAUUGGUGACUGGCAGGCUAGAGUAUGGCAGAGGGGGGUAGAAUUCCACGUGUAGCAGUGAAAUGCGUAGAGAUGUGGAGGAAUACCGAUGGCGAAGGCAGCCCCCUGGGCCAAUACUGACGCUCAUGCACGAAAGCGUGGGGAGCAAACAGGAUUAGAUACCCUGGUAGUCCACGCCCUAAACGAUGUCAACUAGUUGUUGGGGACUUCAUUUUCCUUAGUAACGUAGCUAACGCGUGAAGUUGACCGCCUGGGGAGUACGGUCGCAAGAUUAAAACUUAAAUGAAUUGAC
rnacentral:rRNA from 1 species